AGUCUCCUGAAGGAACGUUGAAGGCGACGACGUUGAUAGGCCGGGUGUGUAAGCGCAGCGAUGCGUUGAGCUAACCGGUACUAAUGAACCGUGAGGCUUAACCUUACAACGCCGAAG
rnacentral:rRNA from 1 species